rnacentral:lncRNA from 1 species
CGUUAACAGUGCUGUUUUGGCCAUAGCAAGAGCAGCGUCUGCGAGGUGUGAAUUCUUUCUCCUGAUCUUAAGGAUUUCAAGGUUGAAGCCGACACCUCUGUCAAGCUCCAGCUUUCUGUAGAGUACUUGGUGCUUUCCUGCUGUCGGAGGUGCUGGAGUUGUCCAAGACAUUGGUUUGCACGCUGCUACAUCCAAGCACAGCACAGAGGAAUAGGAAACAGAACUUGAGCAUCCUGCCAGUAAUAGGCACUGUCAAGAGCCGCAAAUCCAGAAUGCAAGUCAGUGAAACACCGCGCUGAGUUAGAGCAGCAUAUGAGGUACGUGCAUGAUCACAGGCUAAAACUUAACUGGCGCUUCUUCCUUCCAGUGCUAUCUCCUUUGACACUGUUAAUUUGACAGAGAGUAGAAGUGGGGCUUGAUCUUGAAAAUAGACCUGAAGCUAAGAAUUCCAGCACUCUGACUUGUCCACCUCUUGCCUUGGGCAAAUCACCUAUCAAAAGUGUAAGGUUAGAAAUACUAUUUAAAAUGUAUCCUUGGAUUACCUAGCAACAUUUGAGAUGAAUUUUAAAAAG